rnacentral:rRNA from 1 species
CGCGUAGGCGGCUUGUUGAGUUGGGCGUGAAAUUCCUGGGCUUAACCUGGGGGCUGCGUUCAAUACCAGCGGGCUUGAGUGCGGAAGAGGGUCGUGGAAUUCCCAGUGUAGAGGUGAAAUUCGUAGAUAUUGGGAAGAACACCGGUGGCGAAGGCGGCGACCUGGUCCGUGACUGACGCUGAGGCGCGAAAGCGUGGGGAGCAAACAGGAUUAGAUACCCUGGUAGUCCACGCUGUAAACGAUGUGUGCUGGAUGUUGGGCGGCUUAGCCGCGCAGUGUCGUAGCUAACGCGGUAAGCACACCGCCUGGGGAGUACGGCCGCAAGGUUGAA